UCUCCUAACUAUCGUUCUUUGUGGAGCCAGAUGGUGAUUGCUGAGGAAGAGUUCUAAGGUCAUCGUCAGGAAAGUGGGCCACCGAAGCAAGGUGUCAGCAUCUGAACUGGCCCAGCAGCUCAGCAGCAUGUCAGCGGAUGGGAAAGAGUGGUUUCCUCAAGGGCCUGGAUGGAUACAGAUGUCAGCAGGAAGAGAGGCCUGGAAAGUUUGACAACAGGGUCAAUGAUUCAGCUGUAUUCUUGUGAAUGAGAUGGUUUUCCAAAUCUACCCGGGCUAUAAAUA